rnacentral:lncRNA from 1 species
AUAGUUAUUGUAAAUUUAUUGGCAACAAGUAAGGGAGGAAAAGCCAAAAACCCGCGGGAGGGAAAGCAGUAGCUAUCCCCAUGGAAACAGCAGCAUAGAGGGUAUAGAAACAUUGCUAUCUGGUCGUCCUUGCUGAGGAGCAUCUUUUCCCAGAAUGCCUCAGGGAAGAUGCCAAAACUACUAAAGAAAAGACAGCUACAUUUGUGGAAUAGAUUACAAUCGCGAUCUGGCAGAAUUACUGUCACUAGGUUGGACAUCAUUACUCCUCCUGACCAUGCUCUCAAAAAAAAAAAUGUUGGUGCUCAUGAUCCCGUAGGUUUGGAUCUUCCUACUCGUGAGGAUGACAGUUUCAGAGUCAUUCUGUCUAUUCAUGAAGAACCUUUUUAAACACUCUUUUGCUUUUCCGCUGCCACUGAAUU